AACAAACGCUGGCGGCGUGCCUAACACAUGCAAGUCGUACGAGAAAGUUGGCUUCGGCCAAUGAGUAAAGUGGCGCACGGGUGAGUAACGCGUGGAUAAUCUGCCCUUCAGCGGGGAAUAACCCAUCGAAAGGUGGGCUAAUACCCCAUAACACUGUUUCACAACUGUUAAGCAGUCAAAGAGAGCCUCUGCUUGCAAGCUUUUACUGAAGGUUGAGUCCGCGUACCAUUAGCUAGUUGGUAGGGUAAUGGCCUACCAAGGCGACGAUGGUUAGCUGGUCUGAGAGGAUGAUCAGCCACACUGGAACUGAGACACGGUCCAGACUCCUACGGGAGGCAGCAGUGAGGAAUCUUGCGCAAUGGGGGAAACCCUGACGCAGCAACGCCGCGUGAGUGAGGAA
rnacentral:rRNA from 1 species